AGCGGCGCGGGACGCCUUACGCCGCCUCCGUAGCGCCCCGCCCCCGCCGGCCGCCUUACGCCGCCUCCGUAGCGCUUUACUCCGCCUCCGUAGCGCUCUACCCCCGCCGGCCGCCUUACGCCGCCUCCGUUGCGCUCCGCCCCGUCGCCGCCGGCCGCCUUACGCCGCCUCCGUAGUGCUUUGCGCCGCCGACCGCCUGAUGCCGUAACGCUGCUUCGGGAAUGGGACGGUCUCUACACCAACGGCGCGGCCUCUCCCAGCGCAACCUGCGUACCUGCGCGAGGCACAGCUGCGUCGCCUGCGUAACCGAACUUCGGGAAUAGCGUGGGAUGCAGCGGCUGCGGUGGCGCCUCGUGAGGAGAAAUGGCGGGAGGCGCAGCUGCCGCUAGGCUUCGCCGAGCUGUGGGGCCUGCUGGGCGCAGCCUGCGGUACCGGUACCGAGAAUGCUGUCAAAAAAACUCAAGUUUUGGACUUUUAGAAAGCAAACACCCUUCAUCGGGCCUGGGCAGCACAACACACUGAUCUCCAUCGUUCCUGUGCAGCGAGACAAGAGAACAGGUACAGUUUCCACAAUAACUAAAGUGAAGCUGCUCAGGAGGAACUACUGAUAUUUGGUCUCCGUAAACUUCUGUUCAGUCUGCAUGAACACUUUUGUCGGUGGACUUGAACGGAGCUGCAAAUGUAAUGGAAAGGGUCUGGAGUUUGCCUGUAGCCUGGGACCAGUUUUGCUACAAAUUCCGAAGCUCAAGCAGAUUGUCAGCCCUGUUUUAGGAACAUCAGUGAGGAAGCGUGUCUGGAGAAUGGAGCAGCGUUGGUGCACUGAGCCCUUCAAGUUUCAUCUCCAGUCCCUGUGACUUU